AUUGAACGCUGGCGGCAGGCCUAACACAUGCAAGUCGAACGAGUGGCGGGCGUGUUACCUAUGACUCGGAAACUGCCUGAGGGAGGGGGACCGCUACUGGAAACGGAUGCUACAUCCGUAUACCAUCGCCUGUGCCGAGGUGGCUAUAGCUAGUGGUUGGGGUAAAGGCACACCAAGGCGACGAUCCCUAGCUGGUCUGAGAGGAUGACCAGCCCCACUGGAACUGAGACACGGUCCAGACUCCUACGGGAGGCAGCAGUGGGGAAUAUUGCACAAUGGGCGAAAGCCUGAUGCAGCCAUGCCGCGUGUAUGAAGAAGGCCUUCGGAUUGUAAAGUACUUUCAGCUGGGAGGCGUUACCAGCAGAAUAAGCACCGGCUAACUCCGUGCCAGCAGCCGCGGUAAUAC
rnacentral:rRNA from 1 species